GACAAACGCUGGCGGCUGUGCUUAUCACUUGCAAUUCAAACAGAAAAGCCCUGCUUUUGUGGGGUGCUCUAGUGGCCAAAGGGUGAAUAACACGUGAGUAACCUGCCCUUGACUAUUGGGAUAACUUCAGGAAACUGGGACUAAUACCGGAUAGGAGCUCCUGCUGCAUGGUGGGGGUUGGAAAGUAUUCGGCGGCUGGGGAUGGACUCUCGACUUAUCACCUUGUUGGUGGGGUAGUGGCUUACCAAUGCUUUGACGGGCAACCCGCCUGAGAGGGUGACCGGCCACCUUGCGACUGAGAUACGGCCCACACUCCUAACGCAGGCAGCAGUGGGGAAUAUUGCACCAUGGGCGGAGGCCUGAUGCAUCACCGCCCCGUGCCGCAUGACUGACUUCGGGUUGCAAACCGCUUUCCCCUGUGACUAAGCAUGAGUGACUGUAAUGGGUAAAGAACCACCGGCUAACUACCUGCCACCAACCGCCGUGAUACAUAAGGUGCGAGCGUUGUCCGGAUUUAUUGGGCGUAAAGGGCUCGUAGGUGGUUGAUCGAGUUGGAAGGGUGAUCUGCGGGCUUAACCCUGAGAGUGCCUUCGAUACGGGUUGAAUUGAGGAAGCUAGGAGAGAAUGGAAUUCCUGGUGGAGCGGUGGAAUGCGCAGAUAUCAGGAGGAACACCCGUGGCGAAGGCGGUUCUCUGGGCUUUUCAUGACGCUGAGGAGCGAAAGCGUGGGGAGAGAACACGCUUAGAUACCCUGGUAAUCCACCCCUUAAACCAUGAGUGCUAGGUGUGGGGUCCAUUCCGCCCCUUACUGCCGUAGCUAACGCCAUAAGUCCCUCCCCCUGGGGAGUACGGCCGCAAGGCUAAAACUCAAAGGAAUUGACGGGGACCCGCACAAGCGGCGGAGCAUGCGGAUUAAUUUGAUGCAACGCGUAGAACCUUACCCGGGUCUUGACACCCUCUGACCCCUCAGAGAAAGAGUUUUCCCCUUUUGGGGACACAGUGACAAGUGGUGCAUGGUUGGCCUCAGAUCGUGUCCUGAGAUGUUGGGUUAAGUCUCGCAACGAGCGCAACACCUCGUUCAGCUGUUGCCAGCAUCGUUAUGGUGGGCACUCUACGUUGACCGCCGGGGUCAACUCGGAGGAAGGUGGGGAUGACGUCAAGUCAUCAUGCCCCUUAUGUACAGGGCUUCCCGCAUGCUACAAUGGCUGGUACAGAGAGUGGCGAGCCUGUGAGGGUGAGCGAAUCUCGGAAAGCCGGUCUCAGUUUGGAAUGGGGUUUGCAACUUGACCUCAAGAAGUCGGAGUCGGUAGUAAUUGCAGAUCAGCCACGCUGCGGUGAAUACGUUCCCGGGGCU
rnacentral:rRNA from 1 species